UUUUGUGGCCAUGAGUAAGAGUAAUCCGUAACCCCCCCCCCCUCCUUCUAGCACCAAACUGUGGGAACCGAAAUUCACACCGUCUAUUUCCGUUUAAAUAAGGAAACUAGGAAAACCCUAGUUUCCCAGAGGUCCCGGAUAUCUGCUAAUACCACACGCUAAGCAAUCAGAACACGAGGUAACAAUGAUAAAGUAUAUGAAAUCGUAAAAAGAGAGCAAAAGGAGUUUUAUUCCGAAUUCGCGUAGGAGCGUUACAACAAGGUAGAAGCCUCGGCUAUGAGAGCUGUCGGCGAGAUUCCUAGUUCUAACAACCUAAGACUGCAAAACCUAGUUGAGUCGCAGCUCGAAAUAACAAAAACGGAAAGUUGCCUAACUGCUCUAAUUGAUAAGUUUGCUCU